rnacentral:rRNA from 1 species
AACGGGGGGAACUAGCGUUAUUCAUCAUGAUUUGGCGUAAAGGGAGUGUAGGCGGUUUCAAAUAUGCAAACGGUUAGCAUAGAAAAAAUCGUUUUGGUUAAAAAAUACUUAUGCAUACGUGAAACUUGAGUCUGGGAGAGGAUUAGGGUACUCUGGCGGGAGAGGUGAAAUUCAACUAUAGUCAGAGGACCACCAGCGGGCGAAGGCGCUAAUCUGGAACAAGACUGACGCUCAAGAAUCGAAAGCAUGGGUAGCAAACGGG